rnacentral:rRNA from 1 species
CGAAAGCCUGACGGAGCAAUACCGCGUGAGGGAGGAAGGCUCUUGGGUUGUAAACCUCUUUUCUCAAGGAAUAAGAAAGUGAAGGUACUUGAGGAAUAAGCAUCGGCUAACUCCGUGCCAGCAGCCGCGGUAAUACGGAGGAUGCAAGCGUUAUCCGGAAUGAUUGGGCGUAAAGCGUCCGCAGGUGGCAUUGAAAGUCUGCUGUUAAAGAGUCUGGCUCAACCAGAUAAAGGCAAUGGAAACUACAAAGCUAGAGUGCGUUCGGGGUAGAGGGAAUUCCUGGUGUAGCGGUGAAAUGCGUAGAGAUCAGGAAGAACACCGGUGGCGAAGGCGCUCUACUAGGCCGCAACUGACACUGAGGGACGAAAGCUAGGGGAGCGAAUGGGAUUAGAUACCCCAGUAGUCCUAGCCGUAAACGAUGGAUACUAGGCGUUGCUUGUAUCGACCCGAGCAGUGCCGUAGCUAACGCGUUAAGUAUCCCGCCUGGGGAGUACGCACGCAAGUGUGAAACUCAAAGGAAUUGACGGGGGCCCGCACAAGCGGUGGAGUAUGUGGUUUAAUUCGAUGCAACGCGAAGAACCUUACCAGGGCUUGACAUGUCGCGAAUCCCGGUGAAAGCUGGGAGUGCCUUAGGGAGCGCGAACACAGGUGGUGCAUGGCUGUCGUCAGCUCGUGUCGUGAGAUGUUGGGUUAAGUCCCGCAACGAGCGCAACCCUCGUUGUUAGUUGCCAGCACUUAGGGUGGGCACUCUAACAAGACUGCCGGUGACAAACCGGAGGAAGGUGGGGAUGACGUCAAGUCAGCAUGCCCCUUACGUCCUGGGCUACACACGUACUACAAUGCGACGGACAGAGGGCAGCGAGCAUGCGAAUGCAAGCAAAUCCCGAAAACCGGCGCUCAGUUCAGAUCGAAGGCUGCAACUCGCCUUCGUGAAGGUGGAAUCGCUAGUAAUUGCAGGUCAGCAUACUGCAGUGAAUUCGUUCCCGGGCCUUGUACACACCGCCCGUCACCAUGGAAGCUGGUAGUGCCCGAAGUCGUUACCCCAACCUUUCGGGGAGGGGGAUGCCUAAGGCAGGACUGGUGACUGGGGUGAA